rnacentral:rRNA from 1 species
UACCUGCAGCUCGAGUGGUAACCGCUAUUAUUGGGCCUAAAGCGUCCGUAGCCGGUUUGGUAAAUAUCUGGGUAAAUCGUGAGGCUUAACUUCACGAAUUUCGGAUAGACUGCCAGACUUGGGAUCGGGGGAGGUCAGAGGUACUCCAGGGGUAGCGGUGAAAUGUUGUAAUCCUUGGAGGACCACCGGUAGCGAAGGCGUCUGACUAGAACGAGUCCGACGGUGAGGGACGAAGCCCUGGGGCGCCAAACCGGAUUAGAUACCCGGGUAGUCCAGGGUGUAAACGAUGUGGGCUUUGUAUUGGAGGUCCCACGUGGGCGUCCAGUGCAGAAGAGAAGUUGUUAAGCCCACCGCCUGGGAAGUACGGUCGCAAGGCUGAAACUUAAAGGAAUUGGCGGGGGAGCACAGCAACGGGAGGAGCGUGCGGUUU